GGGGGGGCAAGCGUUUGUUCGGAAUUACUGGGCGUAAAGGGCGCGCAGGCGGCCCGGCCAGUCCCUUGUGAAAUCCCACGGCUCAACUGUGGAACUGCAGGGGAUACUGCCAGGCUUGAGUCCGGGAGAGGGUAGUGGAAUUCCCAGUGUAGCGGUGAAAUGCGUAGAUAUUGGGAGGAACACCGGUGGCGAAGGCGGCUACCUGGACCGGUACUGACGCUGAGGCGCGAAAGCUAGGGGAGCAAACGGGAUUAGAUACCCCGGUAGUCCUAGCUGUAAACGUUGAGCACUUGGUGUGGCGGGUAUCGACCCCCUGCUGUGCCGAAGCUAACGCAUUAAGUGCUCCGCCUGGGGAGUACGGUCGCAAGGCUG
rnacentral:rRNA from 1 species